rnacentral:lncRNA from 1 species
UUAACAAUUGGGGUUCUCCCUGGAAACACUGCAGCAAGAUGCUACACCUUCCAGAAAGCAUAAAAAUAAUUCUCUAUUUAUUUGUUGCCUGGCAACAAUACUCUUUAUUUUUAUUCACAGGGAAAUUUCAGAAAUAUUUGCUGAUCAGUGCAACUGUGGCAAGGAAGGGGAAAAGUGAAAAUAGCUCUCUUAAGGUUCAAAAAUUGAUAUGGCAGUUUAACCUUUUUCAUUUGUAUAGACCUAGGUGGUGCUCAUGACCCUGAAGAGCAAAAAGCAUAUCAAAUGUAAAGGCAGAGUGAAUAUGAUCAGAGAGGAUCAAGGGUCUUUGGGAUACACUACGUGAAGGUGUUGCAGUUCUCAGGAGG